rnacentral:rRNA from 1 species
UAGGGCCCUAACACAUGCAGUCGAGCGGUAGAGAGAAGCUUGCUUCUCUUGAGAGCGGCGGACGGGUGAGUAAUGCCUAGGAAUCUGCCUGGUAGUGGGGGAUAACGUUCGGAAACGGACGCUAAUACCGCAUACGUCCUACGGGAGAAAGCAGGGGACCUUCGGGCCUUGCGCUAUCAGAUGAGCCUAGGUCGGAUUAGCUAGUUGGUGGGGUAAUGGCUCACCAAGGCGACGAUCCGUAACUGGUCUGAGAGGAUGAUCAGUCACACUGGAACUGAGACACGGUCCAGACUCCUACGGGAGGCAGCAGUGGGGAAUAUUGGACAAUGGGCGAAAGCCUGAUCCAGCCAUGCCGCGUGUGUGAAGAAGGUCUUCGGAUUGUAAAGCACUUUAAGUUGGGAGGAAGGGCAGUUGCCUAAUACGUAACUGUUUUGACGUUACCGACAGAAUAAGCACCGGCUAACUCUGUGCCAGCAGCCGCGGUAAUACAGAGGGUGCAAGCGUUAAUCGGAAUUACUGGGCGUAAAGCGCGCGUAGGUGGUUUGUUAAGUUGGAUGUGAAAUCCCCGGGCUCAACCUGGGAACUGCAUUCAAAACUGACUGACUAGAGUAUGGUAGAGGGUGGUGGAAUUUCCUGUGUAGCGGUGAAAUGCGUAGAUAUAGGAAGGAACACCAGUGGCGAAGGCGACCACCUGGACUGAUACUGACACUGAGGUGCGAAAGCGUGGGGAGCAAACAGAUAAACCCCCGG